GCAGAUAUGUCCCUCUGGUUAUGUCACGCUCCGGAUUACUCGUUUCCCCAGGCACGCCGACAAAUCUGCCGUAUACAAAGGAAUUUCCACUGUAUACGAAGCGAUAGCUGUACCUGUAUCUGUAAUCAUACAAAACUACAAAUAGUAAUAUAGAGCUGCUAAACAAAAAAACAUAUAUAAAUAAUAUCAGGUUCUCAAUACAUACAUAGUCUCCAGAUACAUAACACUCGCUCCAGCGAUAAUCUAACAUCAGUAUGUACAAGAACCAAAAACCAACACUACCUGUAGCUGGUAUGUCUCUAAAUCAGCAGCAAAACGGGAAGGGAUCUAACUCGCAAUUUUCUUUCCACGAUCGAUAUCCGCAACAGCAGUAGCCGAAGAAGAAGGCUCUGCAAAAAGGGUUCAACAACUGGAUGUGAGAACUACUGCAAAAAGAAGUAGUCCUCAGUGGGUACCACUACCGACCUCAACGGUUCACCCACUAAGUCUACAGAAAGUAUGCUCAAAGAUAGUAAAGGAAGCUGGAACAAAUCUAUAGCUAUAUACCACUAUACUAUCACGAUCCAACACUAACUAUCUGUAGAAAAUGCAAUUUCAGACCCAAUUUCACUAGGGAUUGUGAACACACCCGUCCUGCCUGUCAAAGCGAACUCGUAUACCACCC
rnacentral:lncRNA from 1 species